CCCAGAAAGGAGGGGCAGCCGUGGCGGCACAGGAAAAACGCGAUGGUUGGAAGGACUCCCCGCAGAUGUCCAGAGCCUCUAAGACUGCAUCUCCGCCCUCAGCAUCCAGGGAAACCAGCAACAGAAGAGCAACCUGGGGAAGAGAACUGUGUCACACGCUGGUGCAGCAUGCGGGAGCAUCUGGAUCCAUCACCACCCAGCUCUUCCCCGAGUGUCUGGGAUUUGGCCUUUCUGGAUUCCAGCUGUGCCCUCUCAGGCUCCCGUGGAGCCGAAGGUGUUCUGUCUCUUUUACCUGCCCCUUAAAAGUUGAAGUCACCAGGGAUUUCCCUGGCGGUCCAGUGGUUAAGCCUCUGUGCUCACAACACAGGGGGCCCAGGCCCGGCGCAGCCAAAUAUAUAUAUAUAUAUAAAAGUUGAAGUCACCAGAAUUCACUAUGGGGCCUCACUCCCUAAAGACUCUUCUGGGUAAGCUAACUAGUCGUAUGUUUUCCUAACUUCUAUUUCCACCCCCAACCCAGAACUCCAGACUCCCUGUGUCCAAUGGCCUGGUGGAUGCCUCUCCCUGAAUAUCCCACAGGAGAGGGGGACCAAGGGUUGCUACGUACCUGGAGAUGGAGUUCUCUGAUGCGAUGUCCUUUGGGGUCCGGACUGUUGUGAAGGUUCAUCCAGUUCCACGCCCACCCACUGGCCGCUGGCGAACUCCGUGGUCCCGCAGAACCGCAGUGUGCCCGUCUGAGGAAACAAGGGAGGAUAUGGCUUGGGUGCACCUUGAGAGGCCGAUAAGAUCACCGGCACACAGGUAGCAUGGUGGGAUGGAUGAGGGAGCCCCAGGCUUAAAUCUCAGCUUGGACAUCACCAUUCACUGGUUGUAUAACUUAACUGUGCCUCGAUGUCCUCAUCUGCGAAAUGGGAACAGAAAUCUCACCCACCUUACAGGAUGGUUACAGAGCUGCGCUGUCCGACGCAGUAAACGGCCACUAGCCACACGUGACAAUUUAAAUUAACUAAAAUUAAAUUAAAAUAUCAUUUCUCCAAUCACACUAGCCACAUUUCAAAUGCUUAAUAUCCACAUGUGGCUCAUGGCUAGUUCACUGGACUACACAGACAUAGAACAUUUCCAAUCUCACAAAAAGGUCUACUGGACAUGAAUGCUAUAGAGACACAAAAGCCCUCAGAACAGGGCCUGGUGCUGAGUAAGGGAUCAGUAAGUGUUGCCUGUUAUUAUCCUGUAACUUUGGUAAAGGGACCUCACGGGGCCUCAGUUUCAUUUGGAAAAUGGGGAUAACAGUCCACCUCAGAGGCUGGUUAUCCGGUGGAAACACUUUUAAUAUAUGUGAAGUUGCUUAGCUGCAGCGAGUGUGGUUAUUAUCAUUUGUGUGAGGCUUCUUCACUACUCCAAGCCUCAGUUCCUCAUCUAUAAAAUGGGCUAAAUAAUAGUGCCUACUUUGGAGAGCUGGCGUGGGGAUCAGAACAGUGCCUGGCACACAGAGCCAAGCCCUAUUCUAAGGGCUUUACACAUUUUAACUAAUUUAAACCUCGAAAAUAAUCUUAAAAGAGAGUGGAUAUAUACAUAACUGAUUCACUUUGCUGUUCAGCAGAAACUAACACAACAUUGUAAAUCAACUAUAUGCCAAUACAAAUUCAUUUAAAAAAAUAAAAUCAAAUAAAAUAAACCUCAAACAACCCCCCUCAAGUGGGUACUAUCAGCUCCAUUUUACAGAUGAAGAAGCUGAUGCCCAGAGAGGUGAAAUCACUGGGCCCGCAGCUGGUAAGUGGCAAAGCUGAGGUUUGCCUGAGCAAAUCCCUGAGCCUGAGUUCAUAACCACUGUGCUAUGCUGCUUCUCUACAGGCAGAGAUUGUUAUUACAUGUCUUCAGACAAAGAGUUUCACCUCUUGGGCUUCUUACAGUCUUCUAUAUUGUAAAAUGGAGAGAAUCAACCCAUCCUGCUCUCAAAAUUGUCACACUGAUUUGAUUAAAUCAUGUACAGAAACUUUCCAGGUGGGGCUGAUGCAUGCAAAACUCUUGAUUACGAAACAAAAUGUGACUUUUAUGGCUUCUCACUGUACAAAGAAACAAAAUUCAAAUUCACUCCAGUGGCCUGCAGGUCUGGUGAGAUCCAGCCCCUGCUAACAUCGCCACUUCACCCUCCCUAGAUAACUCCCCUCCAGUCACACUACCCCUCCCCUCCUCUGGGACUUUGUACCUGCGGUCUCCUCUGUCUCCAUAUUUUUGCAAGGUGAGCUCCUUCCCCUCUCAGCUCAGAUAUCUCCUCCUCAGAGAAGCCUUCUCAGAAGACCUUAGCUAAAACCACCUCGGCCCUCAGCUAGGGCCAAUUUAUUAAAUGCAAGCAUUUAAUGGUUUUCAAAGCCUUUGUUGCUACUGGAAAUUAUCUUAACUAUGGAUAUACUUUAUUGACUGUCUCUUCCUCAAUAGAAAUGGAGUUCUAUGAGAGCAGGUCUGGGGCUAACACAGGCCUUCAUCCCCAAGGACAGGCUGGGUCCAGCAUGGAGCCUGAGGGACACCAGGUAAAUGAAUCAAACUUGGAAUGAUUGAAUGAAUAAAGAUCUCUCUGUC